GGUUAAGCGACUAAGCGUACACGGUGGAUGCCCUGGCAGUCAGAGGCGAUGAAGGACGUGCUAAUCUGCGAUAAGCGUCGGUAAGGUGAUAUGAACCGUUAUAACCGGCGAUUUCCGAAUGGGGAAACCCAGUGUGAUUCGUCACACUAUCAUUAACUGAAUCCAUAGGUUAAUGAGGCGAACCGGGGGAACUGAAACAUCUAAGUACCCCGAGGAAAAGAAAUCAACCGAGAUUCCCCCAGUAGCGGCGAGCGAACGGGGAGGAGCCCAGAGCCUGAAUCAGUGUGUGUGUUAGUGGAAGCGUCUGGAAAGGCGCGCGAUACAGGGUGACAGCCCCGUACACAAAAAUGCACAUGCUGUGAGCUCGAUGAGUAGGGCGGGACACGUGGUAUCCUGUCUGAAUAUGGGGGGACCAUCCUCCAAGGCUAAAUACUCCUGACUGACCGAUAGUGAACCAGUACCGUGAGGGAAAGGCGAAAAGAACCCCGGCGAGGGGAGUGAAAAAGAACCUGAAACCGUGUACGUACAAGCAGUGGGAGCACGCUUAGGCGUGUGACUGCGUACCUUUUGUAUAAUGGGUCAGCGACUUAUAUUCUGUAGCAAGGUUAACCGAAUAGGGGAGCCGAAGGGAAACCGAGUCUUAACUGGGCGUUAAGUUGCAGGGUAUAGACCCGAAACCCGGUGAUCUAGCCAUGGGCAGGUUGAAGGUUGGGUAACACUAACUGGAGGACCGAACCGACUAAUGUUGAAAAAUUAGCGGAUGACUUGUGGCUGGGGGUGAAAGGCCAAUCAAACCGGGAGAUAGCUGGUUCUCCCCGAAAGCUAUUUAGGUAGCGCCUCGUGAAUUCAUCUCCGGGGGUAGAGCACUGUUUCGGCAAGGGGGUCAUCCCGACUUACCAACCCGAUGCAAACUGCGAAUACCGGAGAAUGUUAUCACGGGAGACACACGGCGGGUGCUAACGUCCGUCGUGAAGAGGGAAACAACCCAGACCGCCAGCUAAGGUCCCAAAGUCAUGGUUAAGUGGGAAACGAUGUGGGAAGGCCCAGACAGCCAGGAUGUUGGCUUAGAAGCAGCCAUCAUUUAAAGAAAGCGUAAUAGCUCACUGGUCGAGUCGGCCUGCGCGGAAGAUGUAACGGGGCUAAACCAUGCACCGAAGCUGCGGCAGCGACGCUUAUGCGUUGUUGGGUAGGGGAGCGUUCUGUAAGCCUGCGAAGGUGUGCUGUGAGGCAUGCUGGAGGUAUCAGAAGUGCGAAUGCUGACAUAAGUAACGAUAAAGCGGGUGAAAAGCCCGCUCGCCGGAAGACCAAGGGUUCCUGUCCAACGUUAAUCGGGGCAGGGUGAGUCGACCCCUAAGGCGAGGCCGAAAGGCGUAGUCGAUGGGAAACAGGUUAAUAUUCCUGUACUUGGUGUUACUGCGAAGGGGGGACGGAGAAGGCUAUGUUGGCCGGGCGACGGUUGUCCCGGUUUAAGCGUGUAGGCUGGUUUUCCAGGCAAAUCCGGAAAACUAAGGCUGAGGCGUGAUGACGAGGCACUACGGUGCUGAAGCAACAAAUGCCCUGCUUCCAGGAAAAGCCUCUAAGCAUCAGGUAACAUCAAAUCGUACCCCAAACCGACACAGGUGGUCAGGUAGAGAAUACCAAGGCGCUUGAGAGAACUCGGGUGAAGGAACUAGGCAAAAUGGUGCCGUAACUUCGGGAGAAGGCACGCUGAUAUGUAGGUGAAGUCCCUCGCGGAUGGAGCUGAAAUCAGUCGAAGAUACCAGCUGGCUGCAACUGUUUAUUAAAAACACAGCACUGUGCAAACACGAAAGUGGACGUAUACGGUGUGACGCCUGCCCGGUGCCGGAAGGUUAAUUGAUGGGGUCAGCGCAAGCGAAGCUCUUGAUCGAAGCCCCGGUAAACGGCGGCCGUAACUAUAACGGUCCUAAGGUAGCGAAAUUCCUUGUCGGGUAAGUUCCGACCUGCACGAAUGGCGUAAUGAUGGCCAGGCUGUCUCCACCCGAGACUCAGUGAAAUUGAACUCGCUGUGAAGAUGCAGUGUACCCGCGGCAAGACGGAAAGACCCCGUGAACCUUUACUAUAGCUUGACACUGAACAUUGAGCCUUGAUGUGUAGGAUAGGUGGGAGGCUUUGAAGUGUGGACGCCAGUCUGCAUGGAGCCGACCUUGAAAUACCACCCUUUAAUGUUUGAUGUUCUAACGUUGACCCGUAAUCCGGGUUGCGGACAGUGUCUGGUGGGUAGUUUGACUGGGGCGGUCUCCUCCUAAAGAGUAACGGAGGAGCACGAAGGUUGGCUAAUCCUGGUCGGACAUCAGGAGGUUAGUGCAAUGGCAUAAGCCAGCUUGACUGCGAGCGUGACGGCGCGAGCAGGUGCGAAAGCAGGUCAUAGUGAUCCGGUGGUUCUGAAUGGAAGGGCCAUCGCUCAACGGAUAAAAGGUACUCCGGGGAUAACAGGCUGAUACCGCCCAAGAGUUCAUAUCGACGGCGGUGUUUGGCACCUCGAUGUCGGCUCAUCACAUCCUGGGGCUGAAGUAGGUCCCAAGGGUAUGGCUGUUCGCCAUUUAAAGUGGUACGCGAGCUGGGUUUAGAACGUCGUGAGACAGUUCGGUCCCUAUCUGCCGUGGGCGCUGGAGAACUGAGGGGGGCUGCUCCUAGUACGAGAGGACCGGAGUGGACGCAUCACUGGUGUUCGGGUUGUCAUGCCAAUGGCACUGCCCGGUAGCUAAAUGCGGAAGAGAUAAGUGCUGAAAGCAUCUAAGCACGAAACUUGCCCCGAGAUGAGUUCUCCCUGACUCCUUGAGAGUCCUGAAGGAACGUUGAAGACGACGACGUUGAUAGGCCGGGUGUGUAAGCGCAGCGAUGCGUUGAGCUAACCGGUACUAAUGAACCGUGAGGCUUAACCUU
rnacentral:rRNA from 1 species